UACAGAGGUGGCAAGCGUUGUUCGGAAUUAUUGGGCGUAAAGGGUGCGUAGGCGGCCUUGUAAGUCAGACGUGAAAUCCCCAGGCUUAACUUGGGAACUGCGUCUGAUACUGUGAGGCUUGAGUGCGGGAGAGGGAUGUGGAAUUCCAGGUGUAGCGGUGAAAUUCGUAGAUAUUGGGAGGAACACCGGUGGCGAAGGCGGCGCUCUGGACCGAGACUGACGCUGAGGCGCGAAAGCGUGGGGAGCAAACAGG
rnacentral:rRNA from 1 species